rnacentral:rRNA from 1 species
ACUCCUACGGGAGGCAGCAGUGGGGAAUAUUGGACAAUGGGGGCAACCCUGAUCCAGCAAUGCCGCGUGAGUGAUGAAGGCCUUAGGGUUGUAAAGCUCUUUUGCCAGGGACGAUGAUGACGGUACCUGGAGAAUAAGCCCCGGCUAACUUCGUGCCAGCAGCCGCGGUAAUACGAAGGGGGCUAGCGUUGUUCGGAAUUACUGGGCGUAAAGGGCGCGUAGGCGGUCUGAUAAGUUAGAUGUGAAAUUCCCGGGCUUAACCUGGGGGCUGCAUUUGAUACUGUCAGGCUUGAAUCCAGGAGAGGAUAGUGGAAUUCCCAGUGUAGAGGUGAAAUUCGUAGAUAUUGGGAAGAACACCAGUGGCGAAGGCGGCCAUCUGGAUCAACACUGACGCUGAGGCACGAAAGCGUGGGGAGCAAACAGGAUUAGAUACCCUGGUAGUCCACGCCCUAAACGAUGCGAACUGGAUGUUGGUCUCAACUCGGAGAUCAGUGUCGAAGCUAACGCGUUAAGUUCGCCGCCUGGGGAGUACGGUCGCAAGACUGAAACUCAAAGGAAUUGACGG